GUAUUCUUCCUUCAAGACAGCACAGCAGGCCUAUAGAAUAUAUUUUGAAGUUUGUCCUGGAAGAUGAGCUUCAUUGAAUAGAUGCAUAUUCUGUAGAAGAGAAAAUGCCUUUUGUUAGACAUCUGAACGAAGUCCAGAGGAUCAUCUCUACACAAUACUCAGACUUAUUGGACAAACUCAUCCUUCACCUGAAGAUGAAGACAAUCUCAUGA
rnacentral:lncRNA from 1 species